CAAAUUUGCUGCUUCUUGUCUGUCAAUUCGGAUCGUUACCCACAAAGAAACGAACCUCAACAGACCUAGAAUGUGAGGAUGGCUGAUGAAGAUUUGGAAGGUCGUAGUGUUUCUUUUAUGGUUUGUUGUACGGUCCAUUGAAGCUUUGAGUAAAAUGAGGCAGUGACACAAUUUCUUGGUACACUUCCAUCAUAAAUCAGGACCAUCUUAAGACAAAAAUCCAACAAUGAAGCCGACUGUAAGAGAGCACAGCCUGGUGCUGGUAAAGACACCCUCUCUGUGAGCAUCCGGGGAUCCAGUGUCUUGGCUUUGUGAUUAGUUGGUAUACUAGCGUGGUUUGUUUUUAGCCAAGAGCUGGGGAAACUUUCCGUUUUUAAUUUUUUUAAAGUUGAUUUUACAUCACUGCUAAUACUAUCUAAGUUGGUGCAGUUUGUUGCACUAGCGUGGUUGUCUUCAGCCAAGAAGCUAGUAUACCUACACUCGGAACACUCAUGCCUCCUCUACAUUCCCCGAGUGGAUCCCCGGUCGGCAGCAGAAGCUGAGCCGAUCUGGCCAAGAAAAUAUCCGAAGUGGAAAGUAGGAAAAGUCU